AAUGAACGCUGGCGGCAGGCCUAACACAUGCAAGUCGAGCGAGCGGCGGACGGGUGAGUAAUGUAUGGGGACUUCACUAUAGAGGGGGAUAACUAUUGGAAACGGUAGUUAAUACCGCAUACUAUCGGAUAUCCCAUAUGGGAUGCGCUAGUAGGUGAGGUAAUGGCUGACCUAGGCGACGAUGCCUAGCUGGUCUGAGAGGAUGAUCAGCCACACUGGGACUGAGACACGGCCCAUACUCCUACGGAGGACUCAGUGGGGAAUAUUGCGCAAUGUGCGCAAGCCUGAUUCUGCCAUGCAGAGUGUAUGAAGAAGGCCCUAUGGUUGUAAAAUACUUUCAGUCGGGAGGCGUUACCGACAGAAGAAGCACCGGCUAACUCCUGGCCAGCAGCCGCGGUAAUAC
rnacentral:rRNA from 1 species